UAAUGUAGUCUAUUUCUAGCUCCUUAGG
rnacentral:sRNA from 1 species